UACGUAGGGAGCAAGCGUUGUCCGGAUUCACUGGGUGUAAAGGGUGCGUAGGCGGGAGAAUAAGUCAGUGGUGAAAUCUUACGGCUCAACCGUGAAACUGCCGUUGAUACUGUUUUUCUUGAGUUCGGGAGAGGUUGAUGGAAUUCCAGGUGUAGCGGUGAAAUGCGUAGAUAUCUGGAAGAACACCAGUGGCGAAGGCGGUCAACUGGCCCGAAACUGACGCUGAGGCACGAAAGCGUGGGUAGCGAACAGG
rnacentral:rRNA from 1 species